UACGUAGGUGGCAAGCGUUGUCCGGAUUUACUGGGCGUAAAGGGCGUGCAGGCGGUUUGUUAAGUGCAGGGUGAAAGCUCCCGGCUCAACUGGGAGAGGUCCUUGCAUACUGGCGAACUCGAGGGAGGCAGAGGAAAGUGGAAUUCCCGGUGUAGUGGUGAUAUGCGUAGAUAUCAGGAGGAACACCGGUGGCGAAGGCGGCUACCUGGACAGAAACUGACGCUGAGGCGCGAAAGCUAGGGGAACAAACAGG
rnacentral:rRNA from 1 species